rnacentral:tRNA from 1 species
GUAUCGAUGGCAGAGUGGUUGAUUGCGACAGGCUGUAACCCUGUUCCGAAAGGCGCGUAGGUUCGAAUCCUACUUGAUACACCA